GUCUGAAACUCCAAUUUUCCAAGUCCAUUUUCUGUCGGGAGAUUUCAGAAACUAAAAGCAUGAUGGUUCACAUUUGAGAAAUACUUGUAGACGCAGGAAAGUCUAGAUGACAGUAAUAAUCUAAAUGUUUUUUUUUUGUUGAUCAGUU